AGGAAAAUAAAUCUGCCUCCCGAUCCCAUCUCGGUCUCCAAGCUCCAGCGCGCCGCCUCCUCCUGCCGACCACCCCGCCCCUCCCCGGCACCGCGCGCCGCCACGAACGCCGCGGCCGUUGGCGGCUCCCCCCGCCCCUGCUACUCUUCUCCGCUAUCGCCGCCUAGCCCCGCUGCCUCCUCUCCACCGGCGGGAUUCGCCGCUACCGGCCACCACCGAUCACCCCAAGCCCUCACCGUGUCGUCGGCGCGGCUUUGGUGACUCCUCCCCUGCUCCUACCUCGCCCCCACACGUAGCUCGGCCCACUGGAUGGAGCUCCUCCGCCCAGUGGUCAUGGCCAUGGGAUGUGCAGGGAGGAACGUUUCAUGGACAAUGAGGAGAUAUGCAAACCACGCCAUGACCUGAAGGUCCGUGUCAUGAAACCCCCUUCCCCUUUUCCCUGUAUAGUGAUGCUCCAUAUUGCUUGAUAUGAUUUUGGUCAAUCUUCACUUGAGCCGAGCUAGCUGCUGGAGCUGGACUUAUUUUGUGAAAUGGUGUUUCCGACACCACGUUGCUGCUGUCCCUCGGUUUGCUCUGCACACGGGUACUGGAACUACUUGUCGCCAAGGAUGAAGAGCUACAACGGUGUGCUCGCCAAGGCCAUCGACAUGGGCACCAGCCACCUCGUCAAAGGCAUCGUCGUGUGCAGCAAGGCCUACGCCAGCCAGGUAGGUUCAAAGGGGAGCCAACGUGAUUAGUCCUCAAGCAGCCAGCGGCGCGAGCAAAACGCUUGGGCGACACCGGUGGAGCUGACGGGAACAGCCAUGCAGGCUCGGCGACAAGGGCUUUGGGUCAUCAGCUUUGGCAAGUGGCAGUACAAGUUCGGGCAUGACGAGCUUUAUUUCGUAAAGACGUGACUUUGAUGUUUGAAUCUUCCUUCUGAUCAUGUUAAUGAUAACGAGGCUCUCUUGAUAGAA